rnacentral:rRNA from 4 species
CUCUCGGCAACGGAUAUCUCGGCUCUCGCAUCGAUGAAGAACGUAGCGAAAUGCGAUACUUGGUGUGAAUUGCAGAAUCCCGUGAAUCAUCGAGUCUUUGAACGCAAGUUGCGCCCGACGCCAUUCGGCCGAGGGCACGUCUGCCUGGGUGUCACGCAUCGUUGC